rfam:Schistosoma curassoni strain Dakar, Senegal genome assembly, scaffold: SCTD_scaffold0000483
ACCCAGCUGACGACUCCUAAAUAGGACGAAACCCGCGUAUUGGAU